GACGAACGCUGGCGGCGUGCUUAACACAUGCAAGUCGAACGGUAAGGCCCUUCGGGGUACACGAGUGGCGAACGGGUGAGUAACACGUGGGUGAUCUGCCCUGCACUUCGGGAUAAGCCUGGGAAACUGGGUCUAAUACCGGAUAGGACCACUGCCUGCAUGGGGGGUGGUGGAAAGCUUUUGCGGGGUGGGAUGGGCCCGCGGCCUAUCAGCUUGUUGGGGGGGUGAUGGCCUACCAAGGCGACGACGGGUAGCCGGCCUGAGAGGGGACCGGCCACACUGGGACGGGGAUACGGCCCAGACUCCUACGGGAGGCAGCAGUGGGGAAUAUUGCACAAUGGGCGCAAGCCUGAUGCAGAGACGCCGCGUGAGGGAUGACGGCCUUCGGGUUGUAAGCCUCUUUCAGCACCGACGAAGCGCAAGUGACGGUAGGUGCAGAAGAAGGACCGGCCAACUACGUGCCAGCCGCCGCCGUAA
rnacentral:rRNA from 1 species